rnacentral:rRNA from 1 species
GAUGAACGCUGGCGGCGUGCCUAAUACAUGCCAGUCGAGCGAACAGAUGAGGAGCUUGCUCCUCUGACGUUAGCGGCGGACGGGUGAGUAACACGUGGAUAACCUACCUAUAAGACUGGGAUAACUUCGGGAAACCGGAGCUAAUACCGGAUAAUAUAUUGAACCGCAUGGUUCAAUAGUGAAAGACGGUUUUGCUGUCACUUAUAGAUGGAUCCGCGCCGCAUUAGCUAGUUGGUAAGGUAACCGCUUACCAAGGCAACGAUGCGUAGCCGACCUGAGAGGGUGAUCGGCCACACUGGAACUGAGACACGGUCCAGACUCCUACGGGAGGCAGCAGUAGGGAAUCUUCCGCAAUGGGCGAAAGCCUGACGGAGCAACGCCGCGUGAGUGAUGAAGGUCUUCGGAUCGUAAAACUCUGUUAUUAGGGAAGAACAAAUGUGUAAGUAACUAUGCACGUCUUGACGGUACCUAAUCAGAAAGCCACGGCUAACUACGUG